rnacentral:tRNA from 1 species
GGCCGGCUGGCGUAAUGGUAACGCGUCCGUUUCCGGUGCGGAAGAUUUGCAGGUUCGAGUCCUGCGCCGGUCG